rnacentral:tRNA from 1 species
AGCAGGAUGGAUUUGUGGGCUAAGCAUUUGAUUGGGAAUCAAAACCUGGGUUCAAUUUCCAGCUUUGCUG